rnacentral:rRNA from 1 species
UCGAACGGUAACAGGUUAAGCUGACGAGUGGCGAACGGGUGAGUAAUGUAUCGGAACGUGCCCAGUCGUGGGGGAUAACUGCUCGAAAGAGCAGCUAAUACCGCAUACGACCUGAGGGUGAAAGCGGGGGGUCGCAAGACCUCGCGCGAUUGGAGCGGCCGAUAUCAGAUUAGGUAGUUGGUGAGGUAAAGGCUCACCAAGCCGACGAUCUGUAGCUGGUCUGAGAGGACGACCAGCCACACUGGGACUGAGACACGGCCCAGACUCCUACGGGAGGCAGCAGUGGGGAAUUUUGGACAAUGGGCGCAAGCCUGAUCCAGCCAUGCCGCGUGCGGGAAGAAGGCCUUCGGGUUGUAAACCGCUUUUGUCAGGGAAGAAAAGGUUCUGGCUAAUACCUGGGACUCAUGACGGUACCUGAAGAAUAAGCACCGGCUAACUACGUGCCAGCAGCCGCGGUAAUACGUAGGGUGCAAGCGUUAAUCGGAAUUACUGGGCGUAAAGCGUGCGCAGGCGGUUAUGCAAGACAGAGGUGAAAUCCCCGGGCUCAACCUGGGAACUGCCUUUGUGACUGCAUGGCUAGAGUACGGUAGAGGGGGAUGGAAUUCCGCGUGUAGCAGUGAAAUGCGUAGAUAUGCGGAGGAACACCGAUGGCGAA